GAUGAACGCUAGCGGCAGGCCUAACACAUGCAAGUCGAGGGAGAAGCCCUUUCGGGGGCAGAAACCGGCGCACGGGUGCGUAACGCGUAUGCAACCUACCUUUCACAGGGGGAUAGCCCGAAGAAAUUUGGAUUAAUACCCCAUAAUAUUAUUGGAUGGCAUCAUUUGAUAAUUAAAGCUACGACGGUGAAAGAUGGGCAUGCGUCCUAUUAGCUAGUUGGAGUGGUAACGGCACCCCAAGGCUACGAUAGGUAGGGGUCCUGAGAGGGAGAUCCCCCACACUGGUACUGAGACAGGGACCAGACUCCUACGGGAGGCAGCAGUGAGGAAUAUUGGUCAAUGGUCGGAAGACUGAACCAGCCAUGCCGCGUGCAGGAAGAAUGCCUUAUGGGUUGUAAACUGCUUUUAUAUGGGAAGAAUAAGGCGUACGUGUACGUNGGNGACGNUNCCA
rnacentral:rRNA from 1 species